rnacentral:rRNA from 1 species
AGUGAACGCUGGCGGUAGGCCUAACACAUGCAAGUCGAACGGCAGCACAGUAAGGGCUUGCUCUUACGGGUGGCGAGUGGCGGACGGGUGAGGAAUACAUCGGAAUCUACUUUUUCGUGGGGGAUAACGUAGGGAAACUUACGCUAAUACCGCAUACGACCUACGGGUGAAAGCAGGGGAUCUUCGGACCUUGCGCGAUUGAAUGAGCCGAUGUCGGAUUAGCUAGUUGGCGGGGUAAAGGCCCACCAAGGCGACGAUCCGUAGCUGGUCUGAGAGGAUGAUCAGCCACACUGGAACUGAGACACGGUCCAGACUCCUACGGGAGGCAGCAGUGGGGAAUAUUGGACAAUGGGCGCAAGCCUGAUCCAGCCAUACCGCGUGGGUGAAGAAGGCCUUCGGGUUGCAAAGCCCUUUUGUUGGGAAAGAAAAGCAGCAGGUUAAUACCCCGCUGUUCUGACGGUACCCAAAGAAUAAGCACCGGCUAACUUCGUG